GAGCUGGGUUCAGAACGUCGUGAGACAGUUCGGUCCCUAUCCAUCGCGGGCGCAAGAGAUUUGAAGGGGGCUGCUCCUAGUACGAGAGGACCGGAGUGGACGAACCGCUGGUGUACCAAUUAUCCCGCCAGGGGUACAGUUGGGUAGCUACGUUCGGAAAGGAUAAACGCUGAAAGCAUCUAAGCGUGAAACCAGCCUUAAGAUGAGAUCUCUCAUAGAGCAAUCUAGUAAGACACCUUAAAGAAGAUGAGGUUGAUAGGUCGGGAGUGUAAGUACAGCAAUGUAUUGAGCGGACCGAUACUAAUAUGUCGAGGGCUUGACUUA
rfam:Phascolarctobacterium sp. CAG:207 genomic scaffold, scf67